UUGUCAAACCCUAGAUCUUCUUCUCACUUACACUGAGACUGAGAGUAGCUUCCAGAGAAAACAAUGGCGAUGCCGAUGGAUAUCGUUAACGAUGUAUUCUUUGAGAUUUUAGGAUUGCAAAUGGUAAAUUGUAUCAAUUUUCUUAAACCAUCUUGUGUUACACUCUCAGGAGGGAUGAUUUUCUGUCCAAGGGAUUCAAACUCAAGUUAUAAGAAAAGCAGGGGAACUUCAAUGCCCAACACUUUAUAAAGGUAACUGAUGAGUGUUUGUAUUCUUCUUUCUCUUAGUUUGAGAUCUCCAUUCUUAACCUGCGUACAUUAUUGGAUAUCUUAGUAAGUGGAACUUGAGUCAACAUCAUUAGGGUAAUGGUUACGAUUCACAAUAUAUGAAAAAAAUCUCACUAUUUCAAGUGGUUUGGAGUUUGAAACGUGUAUGUGCAUUCACAAUAUAUGAAAAAUCUGUCUGUUUCAAGUGUUUUGGAGUUUGAAACGUGUAUGUGCAAAUCUUGACUUUUUGUUUGAAUUUCAGGUGCAGGGGCGUAAUCGGGAGAAGAAAAACUUUUAUCAAAUCCUAAUCCUAUAUUAGAUCUUAGUAUUUAACCUAUGUAGAAGGUAUAUUCACUAAGAAAAGACUGUGUGCUACGCUGUAGUUGGUUGAAUUUAUAAAAUCCAAGAAUCUAGUAAAAUUAAAAUCUGGCUG
rnacentral:lncRNA from 1 species